GACGAACGCUGGCGGCGGGCUUAACACAUGCAAGUCGAACGAACGCCUUCGGGCGUUAGUGGCGCACGGGUGAGUAACACGUAGGCAAUCUACCCUCGGCUGGGGAAUAACCAGGGGAAACCCUGGCUAAUACCGCAUAACAUCUGGACGUCGCCUGGCGACCAGAUCAAAGCUUUAUGUGGCCGAGGAUGAGCCUGCGUCGGAUUAGCUAGUUGGUGGGGUAACGGCCUACCAAGGCGACGAUCCGUAGCGGGUCUGAGAGGAUGAUCCGCCACACUGGCACUGAGACACGGGCCAGACUCCUAAACGGGGGCAGCAGUGAGGAAUAUUGCGCAAUGGACGAAAGUCUGACGCAGCCACGCCGCGUGCAGGAAGACC
rnacentral:rRNA from 1 species